GAUGAACGCUGGCGGCGUGCCUAAUACAUGCAAGUCGAGCGAACAGACGAGGAGCUUGCUCCGCUGACGUUAGCGGCGGACGGGUGAGUAACACGUGGAUAACCUACUUAUCAGACUGGGAUAACCUCGGGAAACCGGCGCUAAUACCGGAUAAUAUACUGAAGCGCAGGGUUCAAUAGUGAAAGACGGCUUUGCGGGCACUUAUAGAUGGAUCCGCGCCGCAUUAGCUAGUUGGUAAGGUAACGGGUUACCAAGGCGACGAUGCGUAGACGAACUGAGAGGGUGAUCGGCCACACUGGAACUGAGACACGGACCAGACUCCUAAGGGAGGGAGCAGUAGGGAAUCGGACGCAAUAGGCGAGAACAUGACGGAGUAAGCGCGCGUGAGAGAUGAAGGCGCUCCGAUCGUAAAACUCUGUUAUUAGGGAAAAACAGAUGUGUACGUUAAUGUAGCCGUAUUGACGGUAACUGGUCAAAAAGCCACGGCUAACUACGUG
rnacentral:rRNA from 1 species